rnacentral:lncRNA from 1 species
UGCUCUGUCAACCGAGGGGCUCCCUCCUUGGGGUAGCCAGCUAAGGACUGACUGAGGGGCCCAAGCUGGUUUGUGGGGUGUGGGAGAGAGGCCGGGCGACCUAGGGAAGAGAGGAGGCUCGGGGAAGGGGCUGGUGGGAAAGGCUGCGACCCGGGCGCAGCGUGGGACGGUGGGAUACGGAGCUGUACGCGAGGCUGAGGCAAAGAGACAGGCGGAGCCGAGACCCAGGGACCCUCGGCGGCGCCAGGGCCUCUCCUCUCGGGCUCCACGGGGACGCGCGUGCGUCCUGGCCCUCGCGCCCCGCCUUCCGAUUCUCCCCGCGCCGCCUCCCAGCGCCAUUCCCCACGUCCGUUGUCCGGGCCAUGGAGGGUUUGGUGCUGCGCCCCGCCAAGGACUACCGUGUGGUGCUGCUGGGCAGCGUGGCGGUGGGCAAGACGGCGCUGGCCACGCAGUUCGCGUGCGGCCGC